GAGUUUGAUCCUGGCUCAGGAUGAACGCUGACAGAAUGCUUAACACAUGCAAGUCUACUCGAAAGCUCUUCGGAGUGAUUAGGGUGGCGGACGGGUGAGUAACGCGUAAAGAACUUGCCCUUCAGACUGGGACAACUGUUGGAAACGACAGCUAAUACCGGAUAUUAUGAGACUAAGGCAUCUUAGACUUAUGAAAGCUAUAUGCGCUGAAGGAGAGCUUUGCGUCCUAUUAGCUAGUUGGUGAGGUAAUGGCUCACCAAGGCGACGAUAGGUAGCCGGCCUGAGAGGGUGAACGGCCACAAGGGGACUGAGACACGGCCCUUACUCCUACGGGAGGCAGCAGUGGGGAAUAUUGGACAAUGGACCAAAAGUCUGAUCCAGCAAUUCUGUGUGUUUGAUGAAGGCCUUCGGGUUGUAAAGAACUUUCAGUGGGGAAGAAGCAAGUGACGGUACCCACAGAAGAAGCGACGGCUAAAUACGUGCCAGCAGCCGCGGUAAUACGUAUGUCGCAAGCGUUAUCCGGAAUUAUUGGGCAUAAAGGGCGUCUAGGCGGUCUAAUAAGUCUGAUGUGAAAAUGCGGGGCUCAACUCCGUAUUGCGUUGGAAACUGUUAGACUAGAGUUUUGGAGAGGUAGGCGGAACUACAAGUGUAGAGGUGAAAUUCGUAGAGAUUUGUAGGAAUGCCGAUGACGAAGGUAGCUUACUGGACAAAUACUGACGCUGAAGCGCGAAAGCUAGGGGAGCAAACAGGAUUAGAUACCCUGGUAGUCCUAGCUGUAAACGAUGAUCACUGGGUGUGGGGGGUCGAACCUCUGUGCCGAAGUUAAUGCGAUAAGUGAUCCGCCUGGGGAGUACGGCCGCAAGGCUGAAACUCAAAGGAAUUGACGGGGACCCGCACAAGUGGUGGAGCAUGUGGUUUAAUUCGACGCAACGCGAGGAACCUUACCAGUCCUUGACAUCCUCUAAACUUUCUGGAAACAGAUUGGUGCCCCUUCGGGGGAAUAGAGUGACAGGUGGUGCAUGGCUGUCGUCAGCUCGUGUCGUGAGAUGUUGGGUUAAGUCCCGCAACGAGCGCAACCCCUAUCGUUAGUUACCAUCAUUAAAUUGGGGACUCUAGCGAGACUGCCUGGCACAAACAGAAGGAAGUGGGGACACAGUCAAGCCACAUGCCCCUUAA
rnacentral:rRNA from 1 species